CAAGUGAUUCUCGUGCCUCAGCCUCCCGAGUAGCUGGGAUUACAGAUGUGUACAUGGCUGCUCUAAAGUUUGUCCUCAAAGACAAGCAGGUUACAAAGGAGAUGAAGUACUUAAUGAAAUAAUUUAGUGUGACAUAUUGAUAUUGAAGGCUGGAAGGCAGAAAAGGAUUUGCAACAAAAUUAAGCCUCCUUCAUCUCUUCUCUUUGUAGGGAAUAAUUCUAGUGUAAGUAUUAUGCAUUGAUGUUACACAAAAGUUCAAUAAUAUUGCACAAAGUAGAAAAAUAAUAUACAAAGUCCAGGAAUAAAAAGGGUCAUCUUAAAAUGAUAAAGGGAUCAAUUCAUCAAAAAGACAUAAUGACCCUAAACAUUUAUUUACCAAAUAUUUAUGUGAUAUUAAUAGAGCCACCCUUUGAUUAGUGUUAGCAUGGCACAUCCUUUC